GAUGAACGCUGGCGGCGUGCCUAAUACAUGCAAGUCGAGCGAACGGACGAGAAGCUUGCUUCUCUGAUGUUAGCGGCGGACGGGUGAGUAACACGUGGAUAACCUACCUAUAAGACUGGGAUAACUUCGGGAAACCGGAGCUAAUACCGGAUAAUAUUUUGAACCGCAUGGUUCAAAAGUGAAAGACGGUCUUGCUGUCACUUAUAGAUGGAUCCGCGCUGCAUUAGCUAGUUGGUAAGGUAACGGCUUACCAAGGCAACGAUGCAUAGCCGACCUGAGAGGGUGAUCGGCCACACUGGAACUGAGACACGGUCCAGACUCCUACGGGAGGCAGCAGUAGGGAAUCUUGCGAAAUGGGCGAAAGCCUGACGGAGCAACGCCGCGUGAGUGAUGAAGGUCUUCGGAUCGUAAAACUCUGUUAUUAGGGAAGAACAUAUGUGUAAGUAACUGUGCACAUCUUGACGGUACCUAAUCAGAAAGCCACGGCUAACUACGUG
rnacentral:rRNA from 1 species